rnacentral:rRNA from 1 species
CCUACGGGCGGCAGCAGUCGAGAAUCAUUCACAAUGGGGGAAACCCUGAUCGUGCGACGCCGCGUGGGGGAAUGAAGGUCUUCGGAUUGUAAACCCCUGUCAUGUGGGGGCAAAUUAAAAAGAUAGUACCACAAGAGGAAGAGACGGCUAACUCUGUGCCAGCAGCCGCGGUAAUACAGAGGUCUCAAGCGUUGUUCGGAAUCACUGGGCGUAAAGCGUGCGUAGGCUGUUUCGUAAGUCGUGUGUGAAAGGCGGGGGCUCAACCCGCGGACGGCACAUGAUACUGCGAGACUAGAGUAAUGGAGGGGGAACCGGAAUGCUCGGUGUAGCAGUGAAAUGCGUAGAUAUCGAGAGGAACACUCGUGGCGAAGGCGGGUUCCUGGACAUUAACUGACGCUGAGGCACGAAGGCCAGGGGAGCGAAAGGGAUUAGAUACCCCAGUAGUC